rnacentral:tRNA from 1 species
GCCGGUGUGGUGGAAUUGGUAGACACAAGGGACUUAAAAUCCCUCGGAGUUAAAUCCGUGCCGGUUCGAGUCCGGCCACCGGCA